rnacentral:rRNA from 1 species
UGCGGUGGGUACGGGCAGACUAGAGUGAUGUAGGGGAGACUGGAAUUCCUGGUGUAGCGGUGAAAUGCGCAGAUAUCAGGAGGAACACCGAUGGCGAAGGCAGGUCUCUGGGCAUUAACUGACGCUGAGGAGCGAAAGCAUGGGGAGCGAACAGGAUUAGAUACCCUGGUAGUCCAUGCCGUAAACGUUGGGCACUAGGUGUGGGGGACAUUCCACGUUUUUCGCGCCGCAGCUAACGCAUUAAGUGCCCCGCCUGGGGAGUACGGCCGCAAGGCUAAAACUCAAAGGAAUUGGCGGGGGCCCGCAUAAGCGGCGGAGCAUGCGGAUUAAUUCGAUGCAACGCGAAGAACCUUACCAAGGCUUGACAUGAACCGGUAACGCCUGGAGACAGGUGCCCCGCUUGCGGUCGGUUUACAGGUGGUGCAUGGUUGUCGUCAUCUCGUGUCGUGAGAUGUUGGGUUAAGUCCCGCAACGAGCGCAACCCUCGUUCUAUGUUGCCAGCACGUGAUGGUGGGGACUCAUAGGAGACUGCCGGGGUCAACUCGGAGGAAGGUGGGGACGACGUCAAAUCAUCAUGCCCCUUAUGUCUUGGGCUUCACGCAUGCUACAAUGGCCGGUACAAAGGGUUGCGAUACUGUGAGGUGGAGCUAAUCCCAAAAAGCCGGUCUCAGUUCGGAUUGGGGUCUGCAACUCGACCCCAUGAAGUCGGAGUCGCUAGUAAUCGCAGAUCAGCAACGCUGCGGUGAAUACGUUCCCGGGCCUUGCACACACCGCCCAAGGGCGA